rnacentral:rRNA from 1 species
UACGUAGGGGGCAAGCGUUGUCCGGAUUUAUUGGGCGUAAAGAGCGUGUAGGCGGCCAGGUAGGUCCGUUGUGAAAACUCGAGGCUCAACCUCGAGACGCCGAUGGAAACCAUCUGGCUAGAGUCCGGAAGAGGAGAGUGGAAUUCCCGGUGUAGCGGUGAAAUGCGCAGAUAUCGGGAAGAACACCCGUGGCGAAGGCGGUUCUCUGGGACGGUACUGACGCUGAGACGCGAAAGCGUGGGGAGCGAACAGG